rnacentral:rRNA from 1 species
AACGGCGUCUAAUACCGGAUACGAGCUGCGACCGCAUGGUCAGUAGCUGGAAAGAAUUUCGGUCAGGGAUGAGCUCGCGGCCUAUCAGCUUGUUGGUGAGGUAAUGGCUCACCAAGGCGUCGACGGGUAGCCGGCCUGAGAGGGUGACCGGCCACACUGGGACUGAGACACGGCCCAGACUCCUACGGGAGGCAGCAGUGGGGAAUAUUGCACAAUGGGCGCAAGCCCUKAUGCAGCAACSCCGCGUGAKGGAUGACGGCCUUYGGGUUKUAAACCUCUUUUASCMGGGAAGAAGCGAAAGUGACGGUACCUGCCAGAAAAAGCGYCGGCUAACUACGUGCCAGCAGCCGCGGUAAUACGUAGGGCGCAAGCGUUAUCCGGAAUUAUUGGGCGUAAAGAGCUCGUAKGCGGUYUGUCGCGUCUGCUGUGAAAACCCGAGGCUUCAACCUCGGGCCUGCMSUGGGUACGGGCAGACUAGAGUGCGGUAGGGGAGAUUGGAAUUCCUGGUGUAGCGGUGGAAUGCGCAGAUAUCAKGAGGAACACCGAUGGCGAAGGCAGAUCUCUGGGCCGUAACUGACGCUGAGGAGCGAAAGGGUGGGGAGCAAACARGCUUAGAUACCCUGGUAGUCCACCCCGUAAACGUUGGGAACUAGUUGUGGGGYCCAUUCCACGGAUUCCGUGACGCAGCUAACGCAUUAWGUUCCCCGCCUGGGGAGUACGGCCGCAAGGCUAUCACUCAGAGGAUUUGACGGGGACCCGCACAAUCGGCGGAGCAUGCGGAUUAAUUCGAUGCAACGCGAAGAACCUUACCUAGGCUUGACAUAUAGAGGAAACGUCUGGCAACAGUCGCCCCGCAAGGUCUCUAUACAAGUGGUGCAUGGUUUGUCGUCAGCUCGUGUCGCGAGAUGUUGGGUUAAGUCCCG